rnacentral:rRNA from 1 species
UAGUAUCAGCGUGUCAGCCGCCGCGGUAAUACGGAGGAUCCAAGCGUUAUCCGGAUUUAUUGGGUUUAAAGGGUGCGUAGGCGGCUUAUUAAGUCAGGGGUGAAAGACGGUGGCUCAACCAUCGCAGUGCCUUUGAUACUGAUGAGCUUGAAUGAACUAGAGGUAGGCGGAAUGUGACAAGUAGCGGUGAAAUGCAUAGAUAUGUCACAGAACACCGAUUGCGAAGGCAGCUUACUAUGGUUUUAUUGACGCUGAGGCACGAAAGCGUGGGGAUCAAACAGGAUUAGAUACCCUGGUAGUCCACGCCCUAAACGAUGAAUACUCGCUGUUAGCGAUAUACAGUUAGCGGCUAAGCGAAAGCGUUAAGUAUUCCACCGUGGGGAGUACGCCCGCAAGGGUGAAACUCAAAGGAAUU